UACGAAGGGGGCUAGCGUUGUUCGGAAUUACUGGGCGUAAAGGGCGCGUAGGCGGUGUGUCAAGUCAGGCGUGAAAGCCCCGGGCUCAACCUGGGAACAGCGCUUGAGACUGGCACGCUCGAGUUCGGGAGAGGAUGGUGGAAUUCCCAGUGUAGUGGUGAAAUGCGUAGAUAUCGGGAGGAACACCAGUGGCGAAGGCGACUACCUGGCCUGUUCUUGACGCUGAGGCGCGAAAGCUAGGGGAGCAAACGGG
rnacentral:rRNA from 1 species